CAGCAGCGGGCAAUCUUGAUGUCAAUGGCAAUGCUGAUGUUGAUGCUACAUGGGUAAACACCACAUCCCGAGACACGCGCACCUGAGAAUUAUUCAUCUUCGGUAAUAUAGUGUCCGCGAUGGAGUGGACCGAUGACAUCUCAAAGCGAGGUGGGCGGUGAUGUGUGGCUAUUGAUAGUAGUAGUUAGUGAGUCGAUCAAGGAGGCUUGACGAUGGUUCAUUUUCAAGUUUUUAAAACAAAGAUAUCUUGUUGUACUGUAUAUUGCAUUUUCAUUGUUUCAUUAGAUACAGAGUACACAUUGAGCUAUUUUGCAUAGAAUUCCAUGUUGAUUUUAUCGGGCAAGCAAGCCCUGAGGGAUUGGUCUCUGUCUGGGUAUCUGCCUAGCCUUGGUUAGCAUCUUGAUAAGAUAUCUCACUAUCUGUCUAUCAGUAGGGCUGAGACCAAGCGACCAGCGACCACCAGCUGUCGGCGGCUUCUUGUUUAUCGCGUUUUCCACUGCGUCAUCGCCCGGGUCUACUACACCUGGCUGCGCAGGCGGGGAAGAGGACACCGCAAAAUUAAUCCGACAAAGGGGUUUGAAGUCGAAAAUUGAGCAAAAUUGGGGUUCUCUCUCUCUCUCUAGA
rnacentral:sRNA from 2 species